UACGGGGGGAGCAAGCGUUGUUCGGAUUUACUGGGCGUAAAGGGCGCGUAGGCGGCGCAACAAGUCAGUUGUGAAAUCUCCGGGCUUAACUCGGAAAGGUCAACUGAUACUGUGCGACUAGAGUGCGGAAGGGGCAACUGGAAUUCUCGGUGUAGCGGUGAAAUGCGUAGAUAUCGAGAGGAACACCUGCGGCGAAGGCGGGUUGCUGGGCCGACACUGACGCUGAUGCGCGAAAGCCAGGGGAGCGAACGGG
rnacentral:rRNA from 1 species